CUCGCCUUUAUUUAAUGGAUAUAUUGCAGAUAAAUAGUCAAUAAAACAUUCUUCAUUAAAAUAAGCACUGUUCUUUCUUCAGUUUAAUGGUAACGAAACUUACAUACCACAUCAUGUGCCGUCAGAGUCUAGACGCACCAAAUGUCACGUGCGGUUUAUAGAGACAGGCCUAAAUACAAUGAUAAACAGUACACUGAAAAGAAUGUUUGAGGCAAACAGAAGAUGCAUGGAAUCCCCCCUGAACAUGGAGACAGUACAGUUACAUGCAUUAUCAAAGCUAGAUUAUUAGGUGCUACAUUUAAACUCAACCAUUAAUAUUUGCUUAUUUUUAAGGUAUACAGAGAUCCCUUGAAGAAAUAAAGAACAGCUUUUAAUUAGAG